AGAGUUUGAUCCUGGCUCAGGAUGAACGCUAGCGGGAGGCCUAACACAUGCAAGUCGAACGGGAUUGAGAGCUUGCUCUCAUGAGAGUGGCGCACGGGUGAGUAACGCGUACGCAACCUACCUAUAACUGAGGGAUAGCCCAUAGAAAUGUGGAUUAAUACCUCAUAGUUCUUUUGAUCCGCAUGGAUUAAAAGAUAAAGCUCCGGCGGUUAUAGAUGGGCAUGCGUGACAUUAGCUAGUUGGUAAGGUAACGGCUUACCAAGGCUACGAUGUCUAGGGAUUCUGAGAGGAUGAUCCCCCACACUGGUACUGAGACACGGACCAGACUCCUACGGGAGGCAGCAGUGAGGAAUAUUGGUCAAUGGGCGCAAGCCUGAACCAGCCAUCCCGCGUGCAGGAUGAAGGCCCUAUGGGUCGUAAACUGCUUUUAUACACCAAGAAAAACACCCACGUG
rnacentral:rRNA from 1 species